GAGGCCGUGCAGCACAUGACAUCCAUGGCGAUGAAGACGUUGCAGAAGAGGCGCCCGAAGAUCCACUCCCCGCCGAUAAGGUCUCACCCGGGAAGCUGCGGGAUGGUGGCCCGGCCGGAGCGGGGUCGGAGCCUCUCGGUUUGCCGGCUCCGGCACAGCCCUGUGACACGUCCCGUGUAUGUAAGCACUCCUCUGUGUUUCCAAGCUUGCAGAUUCUUCUUCGUAAUCAGUUGGUAAACAGUUCUGAUCACAUAACAUCUUCAGCAUUUGUUAUUGAUACUAAGUGUAUAUUACAGCAGAGGCCAUUGCUAUCAAAUCUUUGCUGCCAUGUUAGUGAGAUAAGAAAGGACUGUCUUGAGGUCUAAGUGUAUUGAGGAAGAAACACUUGGAGUGAGGAGAUCUGUUUUCACCACGGAGAACUUCAGGACAGCAAUGAAACAAAGCAUGUUAGAAGCUUGCAGCUGAACAGUGAGGACCAUAAGGAAGCUCUCCUCAGACCACUGGGGCGGGCGUAAAUAAAAGCAGUAACAUCUAAAUAAUAACAUAGAAAAGAAUGCUGUGCACUGUUCUGAGUAUAUGAUUCGUGAUUCCUGCUGCUAAAAGUGCUUCAUACUCGGAUUCUUACACCAUUACAGCAAAUAGAGUUCUGUAGAGCUUCUUCAUGAAGAUCUGUUUAAAUGUCCUCCAUUUUAAGCACCUCAAGGAAAGGUUUCUUUUGCUUGUAUAUUGCCAAACACGAAGGCUGCUUAAUCUUCUUUGGUAUCUCUGAACAAUGCUGCAGUAGGACUGUUCAGAAAUAACUGAUACAUGCUUCUGGAUCGCUUUUUACAUUCAUUAAGACAAAUCAAGUUACAUCAAACACUGAGCCAAAGAAAACCUGGAAUAAUAUCUCAAGCUGCUCCAUUUUCACACACAUCCAAUAAAAACCUUGGCAAUUCCAUUCAGAUUGUGCUCUUUCUUCAAAUGGCUGGCAAAGAAGCAGUAUUGGCUGAUGUGAUGUAA